GACGACGCUGGCGGCGUGCCUAAUACAUGCAAGUCGAGCGGGGAUUAUGCUUGAUCGCUUCGGUGAGACGGCAUAUAUCCUAGCGGCGGACGGGUGAGUAACGCGUGGGUAAUCUACCUCGUAGUUCGGGAUAACAGGCCGAAAGGCUUGCUAAUACCGGAUGAGUUCAUGCUUAUGCAUAUAGGCAUGAAGAAAGGGCUAGCCCGCUAUGAGAUGAGCCCGCGUCCCAUUAGCUUGUUGGUGGGGUAACGGCCUACCAAGGCAACGAUGGGUAGCCGGCCUGAGAGGGUGUACGGCCACACUGGGACUGAGACACGGCCCAGACUCCUACGGGGGGCAGCAGUAGGGAAUUUUCGGCAAUGGGCGAAAGCCUGACCGAGCGACGCCGCGUGAGGGACGAAGGCCUUCGGGUUGUAAACCUCUGUCUGGGGGGAUGAGAACGGACGGUACCCCCGGAGGAAGCCCCGGCUAACUACGUG
rnacentral:rRNA from 1 species